UACGUAGGGUGCGAGCGUUGUCCGGAAUUAUUGGGCGUAAAGAGCUCGUAGGCGGUCUGUCGCGUCUGCUGUGAAAACUCGGGGCUUAACCCUGGGCUUGCAGUGGAUACGGGCAGACUAGAGGCAGGUAGGGGAGAAUGGAAUUCCCGGUGUAGCGGUGAAAUGCGCAGAUAUCGGGAGGAACACCAGUAGCGAAGGCGGCUCGCUGGGCCAUUCCUGACGCUGAGACGCGAAAGCUAGGGGAGCGAACAGG
rnacentral:rRNA from 1 species